UAAGAAACACCAAACUUGAGAUAUUUUUGAGAUAUAUGACAAAAGCUAAAAUCACACCACAUAAAUAUAACAAAGACCAUUUUAAGAUGGAAAAAUACAAAGAAAAAUACAUAGCAAAUUCUGUAACUAUUUUCCAGUGUUGUACAUUGUUGUAUUCUUGCUAGUAAAAAUUAAUAAAUAAAUAAAAAAGUAAAAGAAAGAGUGUGAGAAGCUUAGUAAAAAAGAAUAAAAAAAUCGAUUGUUACAUAAGAAAAAAUAGGUUGUUAGCAGAAAAAAUAGAGAAAAGAGAAAGAACUUGAAUUACCAAAAACACAAGAAAAUUUAUUCCAAUCAUAGCUGAAAUGGCUUUAAUGUAGGAUGAAAAUCCUCCCCAGUGCCGCAUAUUCGUUCACGUCAUCCUGCAUUGAAAAAAUUUAAAUAGCUCAAACUCUCAUUCUGCAUCCAUGCAACAAAACUGUUCGAAUAUAUCAGAAUACAUAACAGAAAAAACAGGAAUGUAAAAAAUUAAAUCUCCACAACUCCACUACAUUAAAUGGCAAAAUCAAGAACUCCAUCAUCAGUACCUGAGUGACAAUUCGAG
rnacentral:lncRNA from 1 species